rnacentral:rRNA from 1 species
AGGGCGCGUAGGCGGAUUAUCAAGUCUCUUGUGAAAUCUAAUGGCUUAACCAUUAAACUGCUUGGGAAACUGAUAGUCUAGAGUGAGGGAGAGGCAGAUGGAAUUGGUGGUGUAGGGGUAAAAUCCGUAGAUAUCACCAAGAAUACCCAUUGCGAAGGCGAUCUGCUGGAACUCAACUGACGCUAAGGCGCGAAAGCGUGGGGAGCAAACAGGAUUAGAUACCCUGGUAGUCCACGCCCUAAACGAUGUACACUAGUUGUUGGGAUGCUAGUCAUCUCAGUAAUGCAGCUAACGCAUUAAGUGUACCGCCUGGGGAGUACGGUCGCAAGAUUAAAACUCAAAGGAAUAGACGGGGACCCGCACAAGCGGUGGAGCAUGUGGUUUAAUUCGAAGAUACGCGAAGAACCUUACCUGGGCUUGAUAUCCUAAGAACCUUUUAGAGAUAAGAGGGUGCUAGCUUGCUAGAACUUAGAGACAGGUGCUGCACGGCUGUCGUCAGCUCGUGUCGUGAGAUGUUGGGUUAAGUCCCGCAACGAGCGCAACCCACGUAUUUAGUUGCUAACGGUUCGGCCGAGCACUCUAAAUAGACUGCCUUCGUAAGGAGGAGGAAGGUGUGGACGACGUCAAGUCAUCAUGGCCCUUAUGCCCAGGGCGACACACGUGCUACAAUGGCAUAUACAAUGAGACGCAAUACCGCGAGGUGGAGCAAAUCUAUAAAAUAUGUCCCAGUUCGGAUUGUUCUCUGCAACUCGAGAGCAUGAAGCCGGAAUCGCUAGUAAUCGUAGAUCAGCCAUGCUACGGUGAAUACGUUCCCGGGUCUUG